rnacentral:rRNA from 2 species
AGACUUCUCAUUCGAAAGAAGUAAGACCCCUCUAAUGUUAAGAGGUUGAUAGGUCAGAGAUGUAAGUGCAGCGAUGCAUUCAGUCGACUGAUACUAAUAGGUCGAGGACUUAAU